UACGGGGGGGGCAAGCGUUGUUCGGAAUUACUGGGCGUAAAGGGCGCGUAGGCGGCCUGCUAAGUCACACGUGAAAUCCCUCGGCUCAACCGGGGAACUGCGUGUGAUACUGGCGGGCUUGAAUUCGGGAGAGGGAUGUGGAAUUCCAGGUGUAGCGGUGAAAUGCGUAGAUAUCUGGAGGAACACCGGUGGCGAAGGCGGCAUCCUGGACCGGCAUUGACGCUGAGGCGCGAAAGCUAGGGGAGCAAACGGGG
rnacentral:rRNA from 1 species